CCCAUGACCAAACCUUCAUGCACAAAUAUCAAUUUUAGAUCUUAAAACUAAAUUUUAGAUCUAAAUUCUUUACAUGAAAAGUAAAUUUUUAAUCUCGAAACUAAUUUUUAGAUCCAACAUACAAACAUAUAUCUCAUAUAUGAAUUUAGAAUUCAGAUCUAAACUAAAUUUAGAUCUUGACAUGAUCUCAUGUAUCUCAUAUAUAA
rnacentral:lncRNA from 1 species